UCCGAUAUGGUGUAGUGGCCAACAUUCCGCGUUUUCAUCUCGAGAUCCGCGGCGCCCGGGGUUCGAUUCCCCGUAUCGGAG